rnacentral:snoRNA from 1 species
UCGACUGUGCUCGUACGGGAUCAUUUCUAUAGUGAACCCUAUCGUCUCACGCAACAGCGACUGACAAAGUUAGCAACCGCGAUGAUGAUUUCUACACUCUGCCGGUCCUGGAAUUAAGCAAUUGAACUCAGUUCAUUUCGCGUCGAUGAAAGCGUAGCACCUCUGGUGCGGCGUCGGACAGGGUGAUUCUGAGUGGUC